rnacentral:rRNA from 1 species
AACAAACGCUGGCGGCGUGCCUAACACAUGCAAGUCGGACGUGAAAGGGCUUUCGGGCCUGAGUAAAGUGGCGCACGGGUGAGUAACGCGUGGGUAAUCUGCCUCUAAGUUGGGAAUAACUUACCGAAAGGUGGGCUAAUACCGAAUAAUCCUGCAUGACUGCGGUUGUGCAGCCAAAGAUGGCCUCUGCUUGCAUGCUAUCGCGGAGAGUUGAGCCCGCGUACCAUUAGCUAGUUGGUCGGGUAAUGGCCUACUAAGGCUACGAUGGUUAGCUGAUCUGAGAGGAUGAUCAGCCACACUGGAACUGAGACACGGUCCAGACUCCUACGGGAGGCAGCAGUGAGGAAUCUUGCGCAAUGGGGGAAACCCUGACGCAGCAACGCCGCGUGAGUGAGGAAGGCCUUCGGGUCGUAAAGCUCUUUUAGUGGGGAAGAAGCCCACCCGGGCUAAUAUCCCGGGUGUCUGACGGUACCCACAGAAAAAGUUCCGGCUAACUACGUGCCAGCCGCCGCAGUAAAAC